GAACGCUGGCGGCAGGCUUAACACAUGCAAGUCGAGCGGAUGAAAGUAGCUUGCUACCGGAUUCAGCGGCGGACGGGUGAGUAAUGCUUAGGAAUCUGCCUAUUAGUGGGGGACAACGUUCCGAAAGGAGCGCUAAUACCGCAUACGUCCUACGGGAGAAAGCAGGGGACCUUCGGGCCUUGCGCUAAUAGAUGAGCCUAAGUCGGAUUAGCUAGUUGGUAGGGUAAAGGCCUACCAAGGCGACGAUCUGUAGCGGGUCUGAGAGGAUGAUCCGCCACACUGGGACUGAGACACGGCCCAGACUCCUACGGGAGGCAGCAGUGGGGAAUAUUGGACAAUGGGGGGAACCCUGAUCCAGCCAUGCCGCGUGUGUGAAGAAGGCCUUUUGGUUGUAAAGCACUUUAAGCGGGGAGGAGGCUACCUAGAUUAAUACUUUAGGAUAGUGGACGUUACUCGCAGAAUAAGCACCGGCUAACUCUGUGCCAGCAGCCGCGGUAAUACAGAGGGUGCGAGCGUUAAUCGGAUUUACUGGGCGUAAAGCGUGCGUAGGCGGCCAAUUAAGUCAAAUGUGAAAUCCCCGAGCUUAACUUGGGAAUUGCAUUCGAUAC
rnacentral:rRNA from 1 species